rnacentral:rRNA from 1 species
UACGUAGGGGGCAAGCGUUGUCCGGAUUUAUUGGGUUUAAAGGGUGCGUAGGCGGGCUAUUAAGUCAGUGGUGAAAGCCCCAAGCUUAACUUGGGAACUGCCAUUGAUACUGAUGGUCUUGAGUACAUUUGAGGUGGGCGGAAUGUGUCAUGUAGCGGUGAAAUGCUUAGAUAUGACACAGAACACCGAUUGCGAAGGCAGCUCACUAAACUGUAACUGACGCUGAUGCACGAAAGCGUGGGGAGCAAACAGG